UUUGUCAAAUUGUACUUUUUGAACUCACCACUGGGUGGCGCCAUCCCUUCAAUCUUAUUUAAGAGCAUUCAAUGAUCAAAAAACAUCCAUAAGUACAGCAGAAAUAAACAGAGACCAGAUGAGUCACAUCAGUUUAACUUUUACCUCUUCUAACUGAACAAUGAUGAAUUAUGUGAUAAUUUCUCUGUGUUUCACAGCAUUUGAUUUUGGUGUGAUGGCUGUGGAUCAGAUUGGGCCAAAUAAAGGUGCAGAUAUUAAUGCUGGAGAGGGAGAGAUUGUGACUCUGAGCUGCUCAUAUGAUACCAGCAGCAAUUUUGUUAGACUUUACUGGUACAGACAACAUCCUAACAGUGAACCUCAGUAUUUAAUAUGGAAAGAGGCUCGGUCAUGGAGUGAUACUGGUACUUCCACUGAUCCUCGGGUUAAGUCGACUACAUCACGAACAUCCACUGAACUCAUUAUUACUGGUGUAACUCUGUCAGAUUCAGCUCUUUAUUACUGUGCACUAGCAGUUUUAGCCCAGUGAUACAAAGUUUAUGUGAAGCUGUACAAAAACUAAAAUAUGUUUUUCUCUUUGAACGUAAACCACAUCAAAACCACAAUCUGUCAUACACAGAAAGUAAUAAAUUGAGUGAAAACACCUGUGUGAUUAUGAUAAGACAUUUUACUGAAACAUAUAAUAAUAAAAGAGUAAAAGACAAUGUGCAACAACUAUAUUAAUAUAUUUUAUAAUAAAAUUGUAAACAUCUUAGUCAUUGGUGAAUUUUGGUGUUAUGUGUAACAGUGAUGUUUUCUUACCAGUAUUGAUGUGGUAUUUUAUCUCCCCUAACCACUUUCCAAACAAAACCUGUUGACAUUCUUAAAAAUAAAAUAUAGGCAACAGUUAAACAGAUGGUAAUGAAGGAAAUUUAAUGAAGUAUUUUAACAUGAAAUGAGCAGUAUGUUUUCACAGCAUUUAUUAUUUGUGUUAAUACUAAUAUUAUACUUAUUCAUUCACACAAGUUCAUUGUGCAUUAACUAACGUAAACAUGUUUCAUGUUUUACUUUGUAAAAGGUACCCCGGUAAUAAACACAUGUAUGGUUUCAUAGAU